UUUGCUUCAAGUUGCAUUCUUGUAACUGCAGGAAUAUUGAAUUCUAUGAGUGUUUUUCUUCUCUAUAUGCUCUAUGCUCUGUUUUGGGUACCUUGUUAUUUGACUUACAAAAAUAAAAGAAGCCUUCAAUUGUCGUCCUCAGAUCCUUGUACUUGUAGAUAUUAUUAAAAAAACAGAAUGCAACAAAUCAUAAGAAGACAUAUAUUUAAUUCACCUUAUUAUAUAUAUCAAUCAUCACAAUUUUGUUUAACUUAUGUUAUUCUUUGUUAAUAAUUCUGUGUUUCUUUGCUUAUUGAUAUAGAUGCACUUUGAUGAAGGAUUGUUUGCAAGGCACAAAGGUGGGGAAUCUACUAAGGUUGUCACAAAAGGUCUUAGAGGGAAAAGUGCCUCUAAAAAGCUUACAGAGGAAGGUCUUGUAAAAUUUUCUACUCGGGUAUCAAUCCAGACGAAGGUGUAAAAUUGCAGAGGUUCUUGUUGAGAAGAAUUUUGAUUUGGCAUUCCUAUUGAUCUAUGAAUUCAAUCUUCCUGCUGUUGAUAUAUAUGCCAGUGUUGCUGCAUCUCUUGCUGAGAGAAAAAGAGGCAGCCAAUUGACAGAAUUCUUUAGAAACAUCAAGGGCACAAUAGAUGACGAUGACUGGGAUCAGGAAGGUUCUUGCUUGUGUAAUUUGUGGUCGUUUAAAAAGUACAUUUCAAAUUGCAUCAUAGAGUGGAAGUGUGGCUGAUGUUCAGUAUGUUGCUCAUCAGGCGCUGCAUACAAAUGCACUUCCCGUGCCUGAUAUGUGUUAGCAGUGGUUGGCUCAGUACAUGUAACCUAUUGCUAGAAGAAUCUGAUUGUCCAAAGUGUAUCUGGUCUAUUAAUUCAACAUAUAUGUCUAGAAAGCUGGAGUAAGAUCAUAACCAUUUCUCAAGAGAAGUGGAAAGAACCAAAAGCAAUGGGAAUCAAGUAUUAAUUAUAAAAAUCAAGAGAUCUUAUUUUGUUUCAGUGAUUUCACAGUUCCUGGAUUUUGUUGAAGUGGGUUUCUUGAUCUUGAGGUAUACAAAGAUCCAAGUUGGUCCAACAUAUGUUUGGCACUGCUACUGUUGCCAGGUUUGAAAGAUUGGUGGAAAUAAAUCAUCACAUGCCCUACGCAGAAAUUGGUGCAAUUUUAUCCUUGAAUCUCAUGCAAACACUGAAUUUGGGACCAUCUGAAUGUCAUCAACGAUACGUGAAGUUCUUAAGCACUCAAUGGAAUUGACUCUCUUUCGGCCAACGAAAGUCACUCUUUAAUACGGCAUUGGAAAAGAGAAGUCUACAAUUUUUAGCAAAAUAUUGAUGUUUUUUCAGAAUAGAACAUUUGUACAUGAAUUUUGAGCAUUUUUCAAUGUAUGAAAGUUUUUUUUUU